CCUACGGGUGGCUGCAGUAAGGAAUAUUGGUCAAUGGAGGCAACUCUGAACCAGCCAUGCCGCGUGAAGGAUUAAGGCCCUCUGGGUCGUAAACUUCUUUUAUGUGGGAAGAAAUGUACUUUUUUGAAAGUACUUGACGGUACCAUAGGAAUAAGCACCGGCUAACUCCGUGCCAGCAGCCGCGGUAAUACGGAGGGUGCAAGCGUUAUCCGGAUUUACUGGGUUUAAAGGGUGCGUAGGCGGAUGUGUAAGUCAGUGGUGAAAUCUUCGAGCUU
rnacentral:rRNA from 1 species